UUUGAUCUGGUUCAUAUAUAGGUACAGACUUAUCAAUGUAUACUUGAUGGUACAUAACUUAUACCUCAGCUAGAAAAUGUAAAUGACUAAAAUUACUAUGUGGAGUCAGUCUCUGUUGGAAGGUAAGAAGGCUUUUGGAGAGAAAUUAUGAACCAUUUUGCUACUCCUUCUUUCCUGCUCUCACACCCUCCCCUCACCACCCCCCUCCACGGCCUCUCUCUAAAUGGGAACUUCUUGUCCCUCAACAUUCCUUGAUUCUAUUCCUUUACUCCUUCAUUGGAACCCCUACCUCUAGAAUAGUGGGGUCAGGCACUAUUCUAGAAACUUGAGGGUGCAACCUAACUCUCAGCCCUCCUUUGUGCAGUAAACAGGUAUUUAACAUAUGCUUUGAGGCCCCUCCUCUACCAGCACUAAGCAUUUUUCUCAAGCAGGUCCAAGUGGUAAAGAGCUGGCAAAGAAUAUCUGGAAUAGAUAACCCUUCUCCACCUGUGGUUCAAGAAAGGAGAAAGCUGUCUACUAGGUGCUGGUAUCCAUUUAUUCCUCUACAACAGAGCCCACAUAGCUGGAAGGCAGCAGGGGUAGAGUUGAAACCCAGGCUAGGAUAUAAAAGACAUUGUGACUUCCACCUUGCUCUGCCUUGAAUUACCCACUUUGUGGAAGCCAGCCGCCAUGUUGUAAGGACACUCAAGCAGCCUAGGGAGAGUGCCAUGUGGUGAGAAAUUGAGACCUCUUGCCAACAGCCAGCCCCAAAUUGCCAGCCACAUGAAUGAACCACCUUGGAAGCAGCUCCUCUAGCCUCAGUCGGACUUUCAGAUAACUGCAGCCCUAGCUGACAUCUUGACUGCCACCCCAUGAGAGACUCCAGGCCAGAAUCAGCCAGCCAAGCCACUCCAAGCUUUCUGACCCAUGGAAGCUGUAUGAGAUAAUAAAUGUUUGUUGCUGCUUUAA